rnacentral:rRNA from 1 species
CCUACGGGAGGCAGCAGUGGGGAAUAUUGGACAAUGGGGGGAACCCUGAUCCAGCCAUGCCGCGUGUGUGAAGAAGGCCCUCGGGUUGUAAAGCACUUUCAGUGAGGAAGAACGCCUGGUGGUUAAUACCCAUCAGGAAAGACAUCACUCACAGAAGAAGCACCGGCUAACUCCGUGCCAGCAGCCGCGGUAAUACGGAGGGUGCGAGCGUUAAUCGGAAUUACUGGGCGUAAAGCGCGCGUAGGUGGCUUGAUAAGCCGGUUGUGAAAGCCCCGGGCUCAACCUGGGAACGGCAUCCGGAACUGUCAAGCUAGAGUGCAGGAGAGGAAGGUAGAAUUCCCGGUGUAGCGGUGAAAUGCGUAGAGAUCGGGAGGAAUACCAGUGGCGAAGGCGGCCUUCUGGACUGACACUGUCACUGAGGUGCGAAAGCGUGGGUAGCAAACAGGAUUAGAUACCCGAGUAGUC